CCUACGGGUGGCAGCAGUGGGGAAUAUUGGACAAUGUGGGGAACCCUGAUCCAGCCAUGCCGCGUGUGUGAAGAAGGCCCUCGGGUUGUAAAGCACUUUCAGUGAGGAAGAACGCCUGGUGGUUAAUACCCAUCAGGAAAGACAUCACUCACAGAAGAAGCACCGGCUAACUCCGUGCCAGCAGCCGCGGUAAUACGGAGGGUGCGAGCGUUAAUCGGAAUUACUGGGCGUAAAGCGCGCGUAGGUGGCUUGAUAAGCCGGUUGUGAAAGCCCCGGGCUCAACCUGGGAACGGCAUCCGGAACUGUCAAGCUAGAGUGCAGGAGAGGAAGGUAGAAUUCCCGGUGUAGCGGUGAAAUGCGUAGAGAUCGGGAGGAAUACCAGUGGCGAAGGCGGCCUUCUGGACUGACACUGACACUGAGGUGCGAAAGCGUGGGUAGCAAACAGGAUUAGAUACCCCUGUAGUC
rnacentral:rRNA from 1 species